CCUACGGGAGGCAGCAGUGGGGAAUAUUGGGCAAUGGGCGCAAGCCUGACCCAGCAACGCCGCGUGAAGGAAGAAGGCUUUCGGGUUGUAAACUUCUUUUCUGAGGGACGAAGAAAGUGACGGUACCUCAGGAAUAAGCCACGGCUAACUACGUGCCAGCAGCCGCGGUAAUACGUAGGUGGCAAGCGUUAUCCGGAUUUAUUGGGUGUAAAGGGCGUGUAGGCGGGAAAGCAAGUCAGAUGUGAAAACUCAGGGCUCAACCCUGAGCCUGCAUUUGAAACUGUUUUUCUUGAGUGCUGGGGAGGCAAUCGGAAUUCCGUGUGUAGCGGUGAAAUGCGUAGAUAUACGGAGGAACACCAGUGGCGAAGGCGGCCUGCUGGGCUUUUACUGACGCUGAGGCUCGAAAGUGUGGGGAGCAAACAGGAUUAGAUACCCGUGUAGUC
rnacentral:rRNA from 1 species